CUUGCAACGAGUGAAGGCAAAUGAUGAUUACAACCGUCAGAUGAUGGCGGCUAUGUUGGCGUCUUGGAGUAACCGCACGGAUCCACCACAAAUGGGACCCCCACCACCACCUGCGGGAGAACCCCCACACGUGCCCACGUUCGAUGAAUGGGUGGCACUAGGCAGUGAUGGUCCGGGGACCGGUGGCUCGACUACUGCUCCGUCGACCCCAGUCACUCCGAUCUGGCAGAGUGAUGGUGGUCGCGGUGGCGGUUUUGGCGGAGGUGGUCUUGGUGGUGGUGGUUUUGGCGGAGGUGGUCUUGCUUGAUGUCGAUGAUGAUUCCGUGCAUGUGGCCGUCGUGCCAUGCCUUUCAUGUUGCUACUUUUAUGAUGUUCCAUGUCUUGCACUACUUUUAUGUUCAUGAACUUCCGCCGGUGAUGAUCUUUAGAUGAUGAUGAUGAACUUGACUAUGUUUAGAUGAUGAUGAUGAACU